rnacentral:rRNA from 1 species
CGCGAAUGGCUCAUUAUAACAGCUAUAAUUUACUUGAUCUUGACACAAUCCUACUUGGAUAACUGUGGUAAUUCUAGAGCUAAUACAUGCAUUAAAACUCUGACCUCACGGGAAGAGUGCAUUUAUUAGAACAAAACCAAGCGGCUUCGGCUGUUUCUGGUUGACUCAUAGUAACUGAGCUGAUCGCACGGUCUUGCACCGGCGACGUGUCUUUCAAGUAUCUGCCGUAUCAACUUUCGAUGGUAGUGUAUCUGACUACCAUGGUGAUCACGCGUAACGGAGAAUAAGGGUUCGGCUCCGGAGAGUUCGCCUGAGAAAUCGCGAACACAUCUAAGGAAGGCAGCAGGCGCGAAAAUUACCCACUCUCAGCACGAGGAGGUAGUGACGAAAAAUAACGAGACCGUUCUCUUAUGAGGCCGGUCAUCGGAAUGGGUACAAUUUAAACCCUUUAACGAGUAUCUAUGAGAGGGCAAGUCUGGUGCCAGCAGCCGCGGUAAUUCCAGCU